rnacentral:rRNA from 1 species
GAUGAACGCUGGCGGCGUGCCUAAUACAUGCAAGUCGAGCGAAUGAAUUAAGAGCUUGCUCUUAUGAAGUUAGCGGCGGACGGGUGAGUAACACGUGGGUAACCUGCCCAUAAGACUGGGAUAACUCCGGGAAACCGGGGCUAAUACCGGAUAACAUUUUGAACCGCAUGGUUCGAAAUUGAAAGGCGGCUUCGGCUGUCACUUAUGGAUGGACCCGCGUCGCAUUAGCUAGUUGGUGAGGUAACGGCUCACCAAAGCAACGAUGCGUAGCCGACCUGAGAGGGUGAUCGGCCACAAUGGGACUGAGACACGGCCCGGACUCCUACGUGAGGCAGCAGUAGGGAAUCUUCCGCAAUGGACGAAAGUCUGACGGAGCAACGCCGCGUGAGUGAUGAAGGCUUUCGGGUCGUAAAACUCUGUUGUUAGGGAAGAACAAGUGCUAGUUGAAUAAGCUGGCACCUUGACGGUACCUAACCAGAAAGCCACGGCUAACUACGUGCCAGCCGCCGCGGUAA